AUGACUCUGCUGUGUGCGUAAACACUAGUUGUUUUGAUCCAACACAUUGUAUUAGGGAGUCUAUCUCUGCUUACUGCGGUAUGCCCGUUUGGGAAACUUUAUGUAAGCAGGAGGGCACCCACCUGCUUAAGCAGGUUCAAAACACUAGACUACGGCAUGGUGGAGCGUUA
rnacentral:other from 1 species